UCGAGUUUGAUCCUGGCUCAGAACGAACGCUGGCGGCGUGGAUAAGACAUGCAAGUCGGACGAGAUUUUUCGUUGUAGCAAUACGAUGGAAAGUCUAGUGGCGAACGGGUGCUUAACACGUGGGCAACCUGCCGCGAAGUGGGGGAUAGCUCGCCGAAAGGCGAAUUAAUACCGCAUGUGAUUAGAGAGGACAUCCUUUCGAAAUUAAAGCUGGGGCAACCUAGCGCUUCUUGUGGGGCCCGCGGCCUAUCAGCUAGUUGGUGAGGUAACGGCUCACCAAGGCUUUGACGGGUAGCUGGUCUGAGAGGACGACCAGCCACACUGGGACUGAGACACGGCCCAGACACCUACGGGUGGCAGCAGUCGAGAAUUUUUGACAAUGGGGGAAACCCUGAUCGAGCGACGCCGCGUGGAGGAUGAAGGUCUUCNG
rnacentral:rRNA from 1 species